ACUUAUUACUUCAGCAUCAGAAACUAAGACUAAAUUGUUCUCUUCAGAAAACCAUAUUGUCUGCAGAUUGACUUUCUAUUUCCGUGCAGCACGAGAAACAAAUCAACAUAAAAAUCUAGCUCCAAGAUCAAGGCUGAGAGAAAACAGAUUGGUCUGUCCACUUUUCCAAAUACAAGGCAAGAGACAAAUAAGAAAGAAUAAUCCCCACAAGAACCUCGAUCCUUCUCUCUUGAUUCUGUGAUUUUUCCUUUUUUUGGCUAUCCAGUCGUCUACCGGCGAGAAAGAUUCAGAGAUCCCACAAGAGAGAUGAAGAAGAUGAGAGAAAGGACCCUCUGAGUCUGAGAUGGUUGUGCUAAAAAAGAGAGGUUGAGGAGAGUGAAGACAAAGAUCUUAGUCUUCUGAGAGCAAAAUCGACCGUGG
rnacentral:misc_RNA from 1 species